GCACGCCCAAGCGUCACGAGCGGGGGGUGCCUGCUUACCGCAGGGAGGUGUCACGUGCAGGCGGGCAGAGAGACACCGUGUUCCCUUUCACUGCGAGAAGAAAACGUCCACCAGGGUAAUCUCCUAAAUCUCCAAAGGGAGUAUGUGACUCUGCAAGUUAGGAGUCUGUGCUGGUGAUGUGAAGGUCGCUGGUUCAAACAAGGUCCUCAGCUUUUCCGAGGACAGAAGCAAAUGCUUAACAAAUUAAAUGUAAAGACACAUUGAGAGCUACAGAUUAGACAUUGUCUACCUAGGAUUUUCAGUGACGAAAUCCCAGCCAGGCCAAACUGGGAAAGUACCCCAAGCCAGUGGGUGAUUAUGCAACCUGAGAAGCCAGCGGAUCGAAUCGAUGCAGGCAAUCUGUGCUGCAGAUCGGAGAACUUUCUCAAUGGGCGGAUGGAUGUAAUGGCAUGAGGAAUUCUUGGUUCUGACCCAAGUGAAACAGCCCAAACCAGUCUCUUCAGGCUGUUUUCAUUUCUCCACCACCUACCCCAGAAAUGCAAAGGCGUUAUCUUCUCACUUGAGAUGGGAGGGAGCACAGAAACCAUCAGCUGUAAAGAUGGUAGUGUCUAUUUUCACAAGGAAUUCACCAUUCUCCAUUUGCGGCAUUUCUCCUCCCACCUCCUCCUCAGGGAGCCAUCCAGGAGGCAUCCUAGACUGAUUGCUGAACCACCUCAACAGGCUCCGUUCGACGGGGAGGAGCAGCGGCUCCACUUUGAGCUCCUCACCCUGUCUCUAAGGCUGUGCUCAGACACACUGCAGAGGAAACUCUGCAUUUCUGCCGCUUGUAUCCAUGAUCUCAUUCUUUCGGUCAUUAACUGUAAUACUGUAAUAAAUUUGCAAUAAUUUUACACCCAAAACAAUAUAUGUGUGUGAUUAUCAUGUAAACCACCACAUGCAAAAAAGUUAACCAAGUUUUCAAAGUAAUUCAAAAAUAUACAGCGCCUGACCAAAAAAAAAGCCGCAUAGUUCAAUAUUUUGUUGGACCGCCUUUAGCAUUGUUUGUGGUGCACAUUCGUCAAUGCAUUGUUUCCACGUGCUUAUGCAGCAUCUCCAAAAAAAAAAAAUCAUCCAGAUUUGCAUUAAUUUCUCAUCAAGAUCUUGUAUUGAGCUGAACCACUCCGUAAAGCCUUCUUCAGCACAUCUCAAAGACUUUCAAUGGGUUAUGGUCAAGACUCCGUGGUGCCCAGUUCACGUGUGAAAAUGAUUCCUUGCGCUCCCUAAACCACUCUUUAGCAGGUGGAGCCCUAUGAAUCUUGGCGUUAUCGUCCCGGAAUAUGUCCGUGCCUUUAGGUAAGAAAAAACCCAUUGAUGGGAUAAGCUGGCCAUUCAAUGGAUUCCGGUAUUCAGCUUAACGUUGCUAAGCUUUAAUAAAGAUGCUAUCAUUGGAUUUUAAGUACCUGCUGAUUUAAAUUCAAGCAGUGGCUAUUUUAUGGCCAGGCCAUGUAUUCCAUAAAUUGCAGUGAUACAGCAUUGUUGUGUUUUUGGUUCCCGCAGUGCAUGAUUUUGUUGCUCUUUUGCAGUGUUGUAUGACUUUAUUAUUUGCUAUUGUAUACUGUGUUGUACAAUGGAAUGCUAACAUUUCUGAUGCAUAAAAGGGCUUUCUUGAA